GCUUACAGUGCCACGAAGCAUUCCUCUUUCUCACUCUUGCGAACCAGUUUCCCUCCAAUAUUUCUCACCCUCGCUCUCUCUUCCCUUCUCUUUGCCCUCACUCUUCUUCCUCCGACGGUUGCGGCGACGGCGUUUGUGGCGGCUGCGGCCACACUGUUCCCUUCCCCGAUGAACAUGCCUCGUUGCCCACUAGAAACCUAUGUCGCAGCGGUGAUCUAGGCCCCACAGAUCGAAGGAACUCGCCGUUUCUCGAUUCCACUAUACGAGCACGAUUGAGUGUUCCAUCAAACCCUAAUUCCCCUUUCAAUUCCUAUUUCUGCGCCCACUCUGCUUCUUAUUGUUUCUUCUUACUAUUGAUUGUUGUGAAUUUAACUGCUGAAUUUGUUUGAUUUGAAUAAUGUUUCUUCUUCAUCCUCAUUGCUAAUUCCUCUAACUUUUUGUUUUGUAAGAUUGCACUAAGAUUUUGGCUCAGGAUGGAAAAUCAGUCAGUGUAGACAUGGUACUCUCGAUCUAAAUGUGUGUAUUGGCAAAUGAAGCCAGAAACAGAGCUUGGAGGUGGUCUAAAUGAGGAUUCUUCAACCUCACCUUUACCCAGAGUUUUUAAGGAACUGUGUUUGCCUACGGUGUGACAAGUAGUGGAAAGACACAUUUCCAAAUCAACCUAUGAGGUUAAGAGUAUUCAAGGUUGAGCUGAUUUUGUUGGAUUCAAUCCUUUAGAUCUUUUUUUCUCUGUCAUAAGAGUUGAAUUAUGGAACAAGAAUGUCAAGACUUGCCUCCCUAACUGCAGAGUAGAAACACUUAAUAGUGAAGAGGCUCAGAAUCUUUUACCUAGUGUGUGUUUACCAUUCAACUCACGUUUCUAUAUGCCCAAAGCUCUUAACAUCCGUUCUCAACACUAUCUUCAGGCACUUUUCCUAGCAUGUGAGAAUUUGGUGAAAGAAUCCUCCACCCUUGACUCGGGUCAGAAACAGCUCGAUUUACACGAAAGAGCUGUCCAUAGACUUUCCGAGUUUGAAGAGAUCUGGGCAGUCAAGGUUUGAAAGGUCUCAUAAGCAAUCAGAUUAGUCUUUUGUCAGACUUGGUAAGCCUGUAAGUAUCAGCAGCAAAAUGUUCACAUAUUCUUAUCAUCUUUCCCACCAUGUGGCUUAUAUAUAUUUUUUAUGUCAACAUGUACUGAUAUAUACGGUUGGAAACAUGAUAUAAUUGGCUGAGGUCCAUAAAACUUCACCUUGUUUUGAAUUGCUCUGUUGUUGUUCAUGUGUUCUGUGAAACUGCAGUUAUUAUUAUGUUCAUUAAUUUUAGAAGUGUCUUGAUAAGCUUAUAUAGACAAUUAGCUUAUGAUAUUAUUCUAUUAUCCUAUUUCUUCUUUAGCUUAUCUUAUGGUUAAUAAGUAAACUCAACAAUUAAUGAGGUUAAAAAUGUCCCUAGAAUAAACUCUAGUAGUCAAGGAAGGUUUAAGGGAGGUUUAAAGCUGUAAAUAAUCUCUUGCAAUUAAGGGAGGUUGAAAACUCCCGUUAAAAAAAGCU